UGUCUGAUGGUUCAGUGGGAAAAGUCUGGACUGCUCUCGACAGAAGGAACCAGGUUCAAAUCCUGCUUCAGGUAA